UGAAGGCCGCAGCCACCCCAGGAGAAAGGACAUCAGGAAGGCCACCGGGGGCCUGAGGAACAUGCGCGUGAAGCAGAUGGGAAAGGAGCUGCAGGUUCAUUGUGGUCCUUGAGGGAAAAGCUGAGGGCCCAGCCGUGGUCCCGCAAGUGGAAGUAACCGGCUCUGCAGGGUGAACACGCACCCAGUGCCGCCCAGGAAGCUGCCAGUCAGGAUUGGGCGCAGUCUCUGGAAGGAACUCCAGGAGACAGUGUGGCCUCCACAGUAUUAGGCAGCCAAGGAGAUGCAAACACGUCUGCUGUAGAUGCUGGCGAUGAGACCCCCUCUUCCCAGCCAGGGCCUGCUGGGUAAGAGUGGCAUUUCCGUGGAUGACUUUAUCCCUCAGGAUCGGGGCAUGCAGAUUUACUGGCUGGCUUCCUUCUUACAGUUUCUUCUCAGAGCACACUCAAGAGAGGCCAUCUGUCCCUUGAGAGGCUGUUGACCAAAAGAGGCUGAAGAAGGAUGUGGAGCCCAGCUGCAGCGGGACCAGCCUGGGGCCUGAUGAGAGCUUGGCCCAGAACCCCCAAGUUCAUCAUUCACAAUGAUGCCUCAGAAACCCUCCCAGAGCCCCUCCACCCUCCGACGGAUGUCACCCUGAAGCCAGCCGCAGAAGCUGUGCGGGGCGAGCACAGCGACACCAGCCCUCUGUCCCUCAGCUGAGUCAUCCUGUCAGCACUGGGGGCCCAAGAUCUCCUCGACUGCUGCACUCCUACUGCUUCUGCUCCCUGGGGAACAGGAGCACGGGUGCCGCCUGCGGGAGCAGGUGGAGAAGAACGGCGAGCUGAAGAGGGGCAGCCGCCGACAGCCAGGUGCACAAGCUGCAGGAGGAGCUGUAUGAGCUGAAGGGAGGGGCUCCCUGCUUUAGCAGCCUGCUGCCCCCCGCCGAGAUUCUGUACAACAGAACAGCCGGGCCAGUGGCCUGCAAGUUCCAGAGUUUGAGAGGUUUGCCCUCCAGAAAGCAGGUGGUGAUUGGCCUUCUCACAGGACGUGGUACACUGUCCCUGAGCCCGCUCUAACUUGGGAAGUCCAUCUCCACCUGUGGCUAAGAAGCAUGAGAAGAAGCCCAACCUACGGCCUUCCCUCCUAAGCUGGUGGUGGAGCAGUUGACCGUGAUGGAUGCGGAGCCCUUCCAGAAGGUGGUGCCCUCUCAGUGUCUGGGCUCCACCUGGGGCAAGAGGAACAAGCCCGGCAGUGAGCACCUGGCACACACCGUCCAGGCCAAUAUCGACCACUUCAGAAGGGUGGCCAACCUCGUCAUCACCACCUGCCUUGGGGUCCCGAGCAUGAUGGCCCAGGACAGGUUGAGGGUGGUGGAGCGCUGGAUCCAGGUGGCCCAGGAGUGCGAGAUCCUGAAGAACUUCUCCUCGCCCCGCACUGUCAUCUCUUCUCUGCAGAAAACAUCCAUAUGCCACCUGAAGAACACAUGGAGGAAGUUUCCUGGAGGGGCCCUCCACGUUUGCCCCCCGGAGGGCAACCCCCAGAGAGUGCAGGAGAAGCAGCAGCAGCAGCAGGGGAAUGAGAUCAACCUUGAGAAGAGGACUGAGGAGCAGCUGUGGCACUCCUUGCAGGGGAGGGGAAGGAGGUGGAAAUCAGAGACCCUUUGGGGAGAACAGUUUCUGGCUCCACCCCUUGUAUCUUACAUUGAGUGGAAGAUUUUGGUAGAAGUCGAGACCCAUCCAGUUGGCGCGUGGGUUGAAGGGAGGAUGGCAUCAAGGAAAACUUCUUGGAGGAGGGGCUGAUUAUUCCCAUUCUGAGAACAGAACACCGAGUCAUGAGGGAGAUCCUGCUGCUCCAGGUCGCUGCAAAGAAUUAUAAAAAGACCCCAAGGAGUGAUUUGGGGCCUGGUUCCAGGACAUGGAGCUGCUCAACGAGAAUGAGUCAAACACCAAGGGUAGAGGUCAUCAAAAGAUCAAGUCUAAUCUACCUACGGGUGUGGCAGCCUUAACUAUGGAUGUUCAAGCCAGACAUUGCCAGAAGAACUACAUCUCUUCACCCAUAGAAGAUGCAACCUACAGCUGAAGAGAAACAGAUACAACACCAAUAUCUUAUCCUCUCUGAAGCCAAACUGAGAGCCCCUGGAGUCAGAAGUUUCCAAGAAAAGAAAAAGUCAUCCAUCUUCGGAAGAGAGACAGUAGAG